ACAAGGCUAUAGCUUCCUGAGUGGUGACUGAAAGAAAAAUGAGGUGUCACUUUUCUUCAAACCUUUCCAGUUCCUUUGUAAAACAUCACUAUUCCUUAAAUAGAACCGAACUGCUCUUACACCUUCCUCUCCUUCCACUGCAACCUAUUUAUAAAAACCACCAGUGUGGCCAAAUGCACUGAAUGAAGCAGGGCAACUCCUGAAUUGUCCAGAUCAUCUUUGGUGGUACCCAGGUUCCUCUUAGACAGCUUCGCUUCAAGAUCAUUGAUGUACUUCUGACUCACCAGCACCUAUUAUUCUACUUUUAGCGGAACUGAGGAGUAUCAGCUCUCUGCUACCCAGAUUCUUACAAAAGGGGAAUUUGUUAUUCCUACUUAAAGAAAUUGGGAAGUUGGCCCUUUUUUGCUUCGAUACUGAAUUUCAGCAAAUUAAUUCAGAAGCCUCUACAACCCAGAACACUUCAUCUCCAACUCUUCCUAGCCUAAUUCUCAAAUUCCUGAUUGAAUGCCACUUUCUUGUGAAUUUCUGGCUUUGGUCUCUUCUGUGUGUAUGCGAUGAAAUUGGUUUUCUUUUUUUCUAAGCAGGGAAAAAGUAGAAACAAAACAAACUUCCCCUCCCUUCUGCAAAGGUUCAGGAUAGAAAGGGAUUAAAGAAAAGAGAAUAAAAUAAAAAUAUAGCUGUAUUUUUUCCCCCUUUGGAAGGACCUCCCACUGACUAUAUCAUUAUUUGUCUCAUGUAGGAUAUUGGAUUCAGGAUCUAUAGCGGUGAGCUACGUUAGUAUUGAAUCUCAUUUGAUUUAAUAAACCUCCCUUCUCCCUCGCCUGCUCAGCCUUUCCAGGCUUUGUCAGACGUUAGCAGCUCCCCCAUAGUUCUGGCCAUAGAGGGAUAAUGCGUCGCACUCUCUUCUCGACGAGGUGGGGACCUUCAUCCUCCGUUGGAAAUGUUACUAACUCAGAACUCGCAGUGAAAGCAUGGACCCCAGUGAUAUCCAACAUACUUUUUUAACAACUGAAAUACUGAAGUGACUCUAGGACAAGAGGGCCAAAUCCUGGUCCUAAGCACAGCGACAGCAUUUGGGGUGCCUUGGCCAGGCUCUCAUCGGUUCCUUUGCGUUCAGAAAGGGUGUGUGUCUGUCGAUCUCAAAAGCUGCUGCAUCUCCUAAAGCACCAUCCAGCAAUGCCAGGCAGUGGGAAAGCACUUAUGCUGGAGACUGUUGCCAUGUUUAUGCAUUCCUGAACUUCUUCCUCAGUCAAAGGUUAGAGUGAUUGAGCAACCAUGGUCAAAGCAAAGUUGUGAAGCAUUCUGCUUCCUUUAAUGCCAAAAUUACGCUGCUUUAGCUUGGCACGACGGUACAAAAAUGGGCCGUAGCCAUAUGAUAAACAAACAGUGAGGUAUUAAAAGUCUGCAGUACUGGGGCAGCUGGGACUGCACUGUGGCAAUCGUCUUGCACAUGGAUGAAGACUAAUCACAAAAAAUGCAAGAAUAGACACCGCCUCAGGUGUAUUCUGCUAGAAGAAAAUUAAUUUUCAUUGUGGGUCCCUCUCUGUUCUGGAAACUUAAAAUUUUAUAUGGCUUUGGUAACUUGGCAUAGAAAUGUUCACGAUUUUGUAUAUAAAAAUUGAUCGCUAGAUAAAAUUUCAAGAGGCAACGUUCUUAACUUCAAUUAAAAAUCACCAUUUUGGACUUGGCAGCUAGAGCCCACCUUUUGUUGGUGUGAAGGAAGAAGAAAGGAAAGGGAAGGCACGUGUGCCCCGAGAGAGAGAGACAGCCUAGGAGGUGCAGAGCCAGGGAGGUUUUCAAGGACACAGUUCAAGAAUCAGGUGCUAACAGGCUGAGGUAGCAAUAUAUGUUUAGGAAGGCUUUACAAGUAAUGUGGAACACUUCUCCUUCCGAAUGAAAACAUCAGGGACUGGGUGAAAGCUGAGUUCCCACUGAAUUAUGAGAAAUGGUCCUGCAGCUUCUAGACUGGGAGGGGGCAUCACAUCCAUUCCUUUGCAGCUGUUUUUGCAGAAAGUACUGCUCAGACUGGUUUAAUUUCAAGUGAGAAAUGUUUGGGUGAAAGCUGGUACCAGCAACAGGGCAAGCUUGGAGUUCAAACCAUCAGGAACCAUCUCUCAUGUAAGGCCGAAGCGCCAUAAACACUCCCCAUGUUACAGAGCCAUGAUGGAGAAGUUUUCAUCCUUUCACCAAUCCAUCAGCUGUUGAACACAAAGGCAAUUUGAUCAAGUAUUAGAAGUGUGCAUCCUUGAAUACCUCUGUUAAAGUAGUGCACGUGUGGUGCUGUUUCCAGGGUCUUUGCUGGGUGGCUUCCAGAGAGAAGCUGGAUCCAAAGCUGUACUCUCCCUCCAAAAUCAUGGUUAGUUUCUUGUAACAAAGCUUAAGCUACAGCCAGGCAAACGCACAGACACUUAGUAUGAGCUUUUGCUGCCUGGAGUUUAGGGUGGGCUGCCUCUAGCUUUGCUUUGGUCUCUUCAAUAUAGAAAACUACUCAAACCCUGGCUGUUGCCUUGAGUGUAAACUUUAACAUCUGUAAAGCCAUCUCAAGCACACGGAUGUGUGUGCUCUCCCUGCUCUUCAACCUGCUGUCUCUUUACUCUCGUCUGAGUUUCUUUCCAGGCAUGGCUCUGCAGUGCACUUCAUGGCACCUCCAGGUAAGAAAACAUAUUCUAGUUUCCAUCACCAAGUGUUUUUCUUCUCUUCCUUCAUAUUGGACUUCAGCACCUUUUUUCCUAAUCUUUUGUAUCUUGUCCAUUCAUUUGUUCUUUCCCUUUAAUGAUCAGUGAGAUGAGGAGAGCAUAGUGCUGUUCCAAAUGUUUUCUGUUUUCGGGUAGAGUGGGAUGGUACUAUUUUGCUUCUUGGCAAUUUGUUGAUAACCUCAUAUCCAACCUCAUCAGAAAGUAAAUUAUUAGCUUCGCAGUCUCAAAAAUGAGAACAGAUCUCAGAAAGGGUGGCAGAAAGUGACUUGAUCUAUAUUUGUUGCUGGAUAUAGAAAGCCCAAGAAGUGUCAAAGUCUGGAGAUGCCCUAAGUAUGGGAAGUGAGACCAAAUGAUGGUAUUUUUCUUUGGCCGCUGUCCUGAGAAAGGAACAACCAACAGAACAACGCCUCAAAGUAUUUUUUUUUUUUUGUACAAAUGUGCUGAUGUCAUUAAAAGUCACUGGAACCCAGGAUACUCAGUUCUUAAAUCAGCUUAAAAAUAGGUUUGUGGACUCGAACUGCACAGGCUCUUCUGCAGAUUUUACUUUGGGGGAACUUCCUGGGCUUUUCUCCCAGGGAGCAGCCCCCAAAACUUCUCCUAAGUUAAGGGUGAGGAAUCUCCGAUCAUCACACAAGCUCAUUGGCAGCACAGUUUGUAACUAGUUAUAAAAUAUAAAUAGCUUUUUCACUGUGAAAUAUUUGAUAUUUUGAAAAUUAAGACAGUGUUAUUUACUCCCUUCUCUUGCCCACCCCCCCCCCCCCCCACCAUGGCUGGUGUUGCUUAUGUGCUGUUGGCAGAUGGGAUGUGGAUCAUUUUAAUUAGAUUUUAUUGGACUGUUAUACAGCCCAUAAUUGUGAUCAUUACUCAUUUUCACUGUGGUUCAGACAGAUCCUCUAUUUAGACAUGAUGAUAUUUUGAUGAGACAAGUCCCAUGUAACUUGUUAUGUUAGGGGCCAGUAGCCAAAGCAGUGGAAUUAGGUGUUUCACAGCAUAAAAAUUGGAGUGGAUUAAUAAAGGACGUAAUGGUCAAUUUGUGCUCCUAAUUGUGCCCAGAUUGUGGAUGCUAUGGGCAGAAUGUCUCUUUGGGCUGCUGGGUCCUGUUGAAAGCUGCAGAAAACAAAGAGCCCUCAGAAGCCCAGGUAACAAGACGUGGCGUGGGGAGGGACCAAUCCCCCAUUUCACUUUCAGGGAGAAGGGCAAGCCUGGUGGUGUCAACAAGCGACCUUUUGCCAAAUCAAAGCUGUUGUGCUUAUAUUUGCACCAGCUGUGUGUUUGGUCCUGUAUGCUUUUCCUCCUUUUCUGUUGGUUUG